rnacentral:rRNA from 1 species
GACGAACGCUGGCGGCGUGCUUAACACAUGCAAGUCGAACGGAAAGGCCCUGCUUUUGUGGGGUGCUCGAGUGGCGAACGGGUGAGUAACACGUGAGUAACCUGCCCUUGACUUUGGGAUAACUUCAGGAAACUGGGGCUAAUACCGGAUAGGAGCUCCUGCUGCAUGGUGGGGGUUGGAAAGUUUCGGCGGUUGGGGCUGGACUCGCGGCGUAUGAGCUUGUUGGUCAGGUAGUUGCUUACCAAGGCUUGGACGGGUAGCCGGCCUGAGAGGGUGAUCGGCCACACUGGAAGUGAGACAGGGUCCAGAGGCCUACGGGAGGCAGCAGUAGGGAAGCGUGCGCAAUGGGCGGAAGCCUGACGGAGCAGCGCGGAGUGAGUGAUGAAGGUCGUCGGAUCGGAAAACUCGGUUAUUAGGGAAGAACAAAUGUGUAAGUAACUGUGAACGUCUUGACGGUACCUAAUCAGAAAGCCACGGCUAACUACGUG